UAUUAUUAUUAAUAUUUCUACAAUUUCAUGCAUAGUUGUACAAAAAAAUAUCAUAUCUAAUUCUAUUUGAGAACCCUUAUGAAAAGUGGCAUUGAAAGUAUGUGUUCGCAACGACACGAUAUGUAUUUAUUCUUUCCAUAUUAUUAUUCUUAACCGUGCGAGAGAUGUAAUCGUGCUCUUUUAAAAUUUCUUUCUACAAUACAUAUGUUCUUAAUAUAUAAAUAGUAUAAAUAAAUUAUUCUUAUUUUCAUAUUAUAAAUGACUGUAAACUACGAAUAAUACAUGUUAACACGUAUUAUUACAAAAUAUGUUUUAACGAUACAAGGUUAUGUUUUAUAACCUACUCAUAUGCACGCGACAACUUCUAUUAUUCCUAAUAUUUAUUAAUAGUAUUGUUACUGUGGAAGUAGCAAUAAUAUUUUUAGCGUAAUGAAACAUGAAUUUUAUCGCACAUUUUCUUUAAGGAUAAAAAUAUGUGAAAUUAAUACGUAAAAGAAUUUUUUUAAACCAUAUUUAACUUUACAAGAUGAAUGAAAUAGAAUAUAAAUUAGAAUCUACGAAUCCUGUUUUAAUAUCACACGCAACAUCCAAACUGUUCGAAUCCAUAAAGAAAAAAAAAUGUGAUCGAGAGACGGAUCAUAUAUCAAAGAUAGCUGAAUUUAAAUUAUUACUAUCAAAACGAGACAGUACAAAUGUCACGCUUAGCAUAUCAGCCUGUCAAGCAUUGAUUGCUUUGGUCGAAAAUGGAUUAUGGGAUAUUAACGAGGCAUUAUCUACUUUUACCUCGAGCAUCUCCUCCAUAAAAAAUUAUAUGGUUGCCACUACAACAAUAAGUCAUUUAUUGAUACUGGAUUUAAAACGCGAUUCAAAAAAUAAAAUUAUGUAUCCAUUUACUUUACACACGCCACAGCAUCCGUUUAUAAGCAUUUUAAUUCGAGAUAAACGUAGCUGGCAGACUGUAUUAAGUCAAAUAACAUUUAUUAUGAAUCAUCAAGAUUAUAGAAUUAAAGAAAAUAGUAUAAAAAUGCUACGCCCUGUAUUUUUAUAUAUUUUAUGCAAUCCUUUGUUGGAUUCUAUGGAUUGUUGCAUGCAACAAGUUUGGCAAUUGUUAAUUAGAUCGAAAUACGAUACAAAUGUACAGACAGAAGUUUUACUUUGGUUGUGCACGACAGAAAGUCAUUCUUGUAUAAAUACAAAUUAUAGAAUUUUAGAACUUGCAGAGAAAGCUUUAUCAGAGAAGGAUAAAGAACAUUGUACCGCUUUAUUGCCAAUGAUCGCAUCUUUGAUCAUACAAUUAUUAAAAAAAGAUUCUGAUCCAAGAUCGAAUUUCGAUGUUAUAUUAAAUAUUAUAGACUAUUGUGAUAACUAUAUUGGAAAUCUUAUGUUGAUAUUGAUGGCAGAAGUAAUUACUUUAUGUCCGGCUAUUUAUUUGUACAACGCUUUGCAAAUAUGUAUGAUGAUAACAAAGAAAAUGUCUUAUGAUGAUAUAUUUUUUAGCGCUUUGAAGGCAUCUGUGAUAAAAUGGAUGGCAUAUCCAUCCGUAUUAUGUUCCGAGGCAUUAGAUUUAGCAAAGGAUUUAACGAACAAAAUAUUCACAAAAACGAACUUAACCUGUAACGUAGAGACGUUACUUUCAAACAAACUUUUUACGGUAUUCAGUCAUUCCGAUUCAUAUAUUCAAUUCUAUUCAGAACUGGUGAUGCAUUGUUCGAAUAUUUGGAAUUCGAAUGACAUUUUAUCCUGGUUAAGAAAUAUAUCAAGUGUACCCGUUUAUUUAAAAGACAAAUGUAAAUUAUUGAUAUCCGGUCUUCUCUUACAAUCAAACGAACCUUUAAUAGUCGAAUUAUGUUGUAACAUAUUGGUUGAUGUCAGCAGAGAAACAAAUAGUUUUGGCUCGCACGUACUUUCUUUGAUAUUGCACAAAUUAACCAAAUGUAAAAGCAGUACGGAGACAAAAUGUUUACUAGCGGUUAUACCUGAGCUUGUAAGUACAAAAGAAAAUGUUCCAAUUAUAAACCAUACAUUGAACAUGUUGUUGAACGGUGAAAAACAAUUGAAAUAUUUUAUAAUCGAAUUAUAUCUUAAAACAUUGAAAAAAGAACCAAGAUGUUACAGAUUCGUUUCCGCCGCGAUAAUACAAUUGAUGAAAAACGAUUAUUCUUGGUAUUCGGAUGCAACCUGCGCUAGAGCUAUGAAAUAUAUUUGUGAGAAUUGUCCCGAGCAUGGCGAAAAUUUGGUACCAUUGUUGUCGCAAAUAUUAAAUCGUUCAACGAACACGAAUGGUGGAACUGCGAGUGCACUCGCACUUGGAUGUAUUUCUAUACUUUGCAAGGCAUCCGUAAUAGAUAUUUGUUCAACGUGGAGAGUACUAGCUCCGAAAAUGGAAAAAGAGAAACGUCCUAUCGUCUUGGAAAGCCUAUGCGAAUUAUUUGCCGACGCUGCAUUUUACACACCAUCGCAAGGCCUUGAAGAAUACGAUCGCUUGAUCGAUAAUAUCAUAUCGAAAUUGUGGACAUACACAACAUCUAAUGAUAUAAAGGUAAUCAACUCUGCACUCAAAGCCCUAGCUUCGUAUCGUUUGGAGCAAUUAUCUUUGAAAACACUACCGUUGGAAUUUAGAUGUAAUCUCGUAUUACCUGCAACAUAUGCGAAAACUCCAGUCGACGCGAUUAAAAAACCAGAAGAUAUAUUUCCCUAUAUACCUGGUACUUGUUGGAUACAAAUGCUUCAAAAUAUAAAUAAAACUGUUUUACCGACAGCUGGAAAUCUUUUAAUAUCUUUUGUGACGGAAGAAGUAAAUAGUUUCCGAUCUGGCAUUUACGUUUGGCCCCAAGGGGAACCGCAAAACUUUAAGUAUUUGCCAGAAAAAAGCGUAAUCAGAGCGAUUGGUGAAUAUUUGAGGAAAUGUAACAAAAUUGAUUCAAAUAAUCAUCGUAUUAUUACGGAAUGUUUACGAAUAUUUGCUCACAAAUAUCCGAAACCAUUGCCCAAUAUUAAUUGGAAUUUUCUAAAGAACAUGCUUGAUCUGUCAAGCGAAACAAAACAAUAUAUUCUUUCCAUCGUGUGUCAUCAUGCAACGAUAUCUUUAUCUGCUAAAUCUUUUAUAGAGAAUUAUCUAUCGAUGUAUAAAACAAUAAACGAUACAGAUUUUAAUUGGAAAAACAAUGAACACUCUGUGUUAUAUUCGAAUCUCGAAGAUUUGUGCCAAGCUGUACAACCGAAUAUCAUUAAACCGUUUUUAGAUAUAACGUUGAAACAUGUAAUUGAAAAAAUGGAUGUCGGUAAUAAAAAUUCGAUAGAAUUGUUCCAUUCUAUUAUGUAUUCGUAUGCUCAAACGUUAAAAAAUCCAGAAGUAUGUCAUGCUAAUUCUACAUUACUUUCUACGAUAUUAGAGGAACUUUUGGACAAAAUAGAUUUAACGUGCGAUCAGUUUUAUUCUUAUUUCGCAGCAGCAUUGGAAUUACCAAUGAAACAUUUAGAGAGAAUGACAUCUCCUAAAGUAUGGUGGGAAACAAUACCAGGUAAAUUGAAAAAUGCAAUCGCGAUCAGAGGUGAAUUGGUUUUAAAGAAACAUAAUUCCGAAGCUUCUUUAACAUGGUUGAACGAAAUCAUCGAUGAAACUAUUGCCUCUACAUUUAGUGUGCAAAUAUAUUUCCUAAAAAUUAUACGAAAUGUGUUGAUCAAUAUGCAAAUUGAAAGAUCCAGUUUAAAUUGGAUUCUCGAUCUUAUGACACAAGUUCAAGGAUUUUUUAUGGAAUCACAGCAAAAUCAUUUUGAUAAAAUACAAUUCUAUUGUGAUAUUUUAUUCGUCUCUAUUAUUAGUUUAUCUGGCAUAGAUUCCAUGUUAAUGAAAGAAGAUUUAUUAAUUAAAUCGCAAAAUAUUAAAAUAAAAUUAUUUCCUCAAGCUCUAACAAUUAUUUUUGAAAGACAGGAUUGGAAGUAUGCAAUUCCACAGAUGAUGGAAUGGUUAAAUUACAUGAGAAUGAGUAAUAUUUCUAGUUCGUAUAAAUCCACAUUUCAUCGAGCAUUAAUUUGUUUAAGACAUAAUUCCUAUUAUAAAGAUGUAUGGACUAAAUAUUUAUCGAUUAAAACAGAAAUCGAUAUUUAAUCGUAAUCUGGUACAUGUUAGACUGAAACAACUUCUAUUGCAAAAAAUCUGUUCGUAACAACUGCAAAUUUAAGAUGAUACGAAAUUAAAAGGAAAAACAUAUUUCUGGAAUAUUAUUAUAAUAAAAAUUAAAUAUGUAUUUUACUUACUUGCAAUUUCGUAUAGUGUAGAAAUUAGCAAUUAUGAAACAACUAUUCGUCACAUAUGUUGUAUGUGACGAUUUUCAUAAUGCUAAACAGAUGUUUCAUUAUUAUCCAGCAUCAUUACCGUUAAUGUAUUUGGUCGUGAACCAGUCAAUGUUUGAUCUUCGGGUGUACGACUUGGACUAGAUUUUCUACUGCUCGGAUACGAUUUUAACAAACGGGCCCUAUGAAAACAUUAAGAACAAUUUUUCAUUUUUCAACAAUUUGUAUUCUAUCAUGAUAAGUUGCAAUAAAUGUUCUAAUUGUAAA
rnacentral:misc_RNA from 1 species